ensembl:lncRNA
CGGCAUGUCUACAUGGCAGCCCAACAACCGCCCUCCUGGUCCGACUCCGACGACGACGAGUCCCUCGAAAGACCACACGGCAGUCCACGGACUCCAUUCCCCGGGGGACCCCAGAAACGAUGACCGCCUCCGAACAGACACCCCCUCCGGAGGAGAGAGAGAGAGCCCGGACCUCAUCGAUUUCUCCGACGUACCCCUCGCCGUCGAGGGACGUACGGACAGGGGCGGACAUUUCGCCACCGCCCAACUGGAGGACGACGCCCUUAAACAUGCCUGGGGACACGUACAGGUCCAUGAGGGCGUAUCCAGGGACUCUCCUCGGUGAAAAAACAUGUGCUUGCGUUGUGACACCUCGGCGUCUGUGGCUUUGAUAUUCAUGAGGCUGUUGGAGACCAGCUGUUAACGCGGAGGUUUUUACGGCGUGCCUUGACAGCCCCGGAGCGAUUCAUCCGCAGGUAGACGAGGGAGAGGAGAGCAGACAGGAACGUGCCUCCACUCGUCAUCAUCAAGCCCCAUGACUCAUUUAGACUUCUCAUUUAGGUUCAUUGCCUUUUAUUAAGAUUAACACUCCCCCCCCCCACCACAGCCAUGACGCAGAGUAAUGACCUCAUCAAUCCGACUUAAGUCCCUGUGCUCGCCAGACAAAACUCCACCUAUUCUGUUUUUCUGUGUGCGUGUGUCUGUGGAGGGUGGUUUAUUGUUUGGCUGCCA